UAGUGGCCCUUACGACCAGGGCUACACACGUGCUACAAUGGCGCAUACAAAGAGAAGCGACCUCGCGAGAGCAAGCGGACCUCAUAAAGUGCGUCGUAGUCCGGAUUGGAGUCUGCAACUCGACUCCAUGAAGUCGGAAUCGCUAGUAAUCGUGGAUCAGAAUGCCACGGUGAAUACGUUCCCGGGCCUUGUACACACCGCCCGUCACACCAUGGGAGUGGGUUGCAAAAGAAGUAGGUAGCUUAACCUUCGGGAGGGCGCUUACCACUUUGUGAUUCAUGACUGGGGUGAAGUCGUAACAAGGUAACCGUAGGGGAACCUGCGGUUGGAUCACCUCCUUACCUUAAAGAAGC
rnacentral:rRNA from 1 species